GACGAACGCUGGCGGCGUGCUUAACACAUGCAAGUCGAACGGAAAGGCCCUGCUUUUGUGGGGUGCUCGAGUGGCGAACGGGUGAGUAACACGUGAGUAACCUGCCCUUGACUUUGGGAUAACUUCAGGAAACUGGGGCUAAUACCGGAUAGGAGCUCCUGCUGCAUGGUGGGGGUUGGAAAGUUUCGGCGGUUGGGGAUGGACUCGCGGCUUAUCAGCUUGUUGGUGGGGUAGUGGCUUACCAAGGCUUUGACGGGUAGCCGGCCUGAGAGGGUUACCGGCCACAUUGGGACUGAGAUACGGACCAGACGCCUACGGGAGGCAGCAGUGGGGAGUAUUACACAAUGGGCGGAAGCCUGAUGCAGCAACGCCGCGUGCGGGAUGACGGCCUUCGGGGUGUAAACCGCUUUCGCCUGUGACGAAGCGUGAGUGACGGUAAUGGGUAAAGAAGCACCGGCUAACUACGUG
rnacentral:rRNA from 1 species